UGAGUACGAGACGCUAAGGCGUCGAAGUAGUGGAUGUCAUACUUCCAAGGAAAGCUUGCACUGUCAUAAAUAAGAAAUGCCUGUACCAUAACCGACACAGGUGGGUAAGUAGAGUAUACUAAGGGGCGCGAGAUAACUCUCUCUAAGGAACUCGGCAAAAUAACUCCGUAACUUCGGGAGAAGGAGUGCCUUAUUCUUAAGGUUGCAAUAACAAGAUCCAAGCAACUGUCUAUCAAAAACACAGGUCUCCGCUAAGUCGUAAGACGAUGUAUGGGGGCUGACGCCUGCCCAGUGCCAGAAGGUUAAAGAAGUCGGUUAGCAAUAGCAAAGCUGGUAACUGAAGCCCUGGUGAACGGCGGCCGUAACAAUAACGGUCCUAAGGUAGCGAAAUUCCUUGUCGGGUAAGUUCCGACCCGCACGAAAGGCGUAAUGAUUUGGAUGCUGUCUCGGAGAGGGGCUCGGUGAAAUAGACUUGUCUGUGAAGAUGCGGACUACCUGCACCAGGACAGAAAGACCCUAUGAAGCUUUACUGUAACUUGAAAUUGAAAUUGGACUUUAUUCGCGCAGUAUAGGUGGGAGGCGUUGAUUAUAAUCUUGUGGGAUUAUUGGAGCCAUCAGUGAGAUACCACUCUUGUAAUGUUAGAUUUCUAACUUUGAAUCAUUAUCUGGUCAAAGGACAGUUUCAGGCGGGCAGUUUGACUGGGGCGGUCGCCUCCUAAACGGUAACGGAGGCGUACAAAGGUUUCCUCUGAACGGUUAGAAAUCGUAUCUAGAGUGUAAAGGCAUAAGGAAGCUUGACUGUGAGACCUACAAGUCGAGCAGGGACGAAAGUCGGUCUUAGUGAUCUGACGGUACUGAGUGGAAAGGCCGUCACUCAACGGAUAAAAGUUACUCUAGGAUAACAGGCUGAUCUCCCCCAAGAGUUCACAUCGACGGGGAGGUUUGGCACCUCGAUGUCGGCUCAUCGCAUCCUGGGGCGGUAGUACGUCCCAAGGGUUGGGCUGUUCGCCCAUGAAAGCGGUACGCGAGCUGGGUUCAGGACGUCGUGAGACAGUUCGGUCCAUAUCCGGUGUAGGCGCUAGAAUAUUGAGAGAAGCCUUCUUUAGUACGAGAGGACCGAGAAGGACAUACCUCUGGUGUACCAGUUAUCGUGCCAACGGUAAACGCUGGGUAGCUAUGUAUGGAGUGGAUAACCGCUGAAAGCAUCUAAGUGGGAAGCCCACCUCAAGAUAAGUAUUCUCAUCACGUAAGUGAGUAAGGUCACGGUAAGACUAACCGUUUGAUAGGCAUUAAGUGUAAGUACAGUAAUGUAUGUGCUGAGAUGUCCUAAUAGACCGAGGAC
rnacentral:rRNA from 1 species